ACUCCUACGGGAGGCAGCAGUGAGGGAUAUUGCACAAUGGGGGAAACCCUGAUGCAGCGACGCCGCGUGGGUGAUGAAGGCUUUCGGGUCGUAAAACCCUUUUUGGCAUGACGAGAACGGACGGUAGUGCCAGAAUAAGUCUCGGCUAACUACGUGCCAGCAGCCGCGGUAAAACGUAGGAGGCAAGCGUUAUCCGGAGUUACUGGGCGUAAAGGGUGCGUAGGCGGCUCAUCAAGUGGGACGUGAAAGCUCACGGCUAAACUGUGAGAGGACGACUCAGACUGAAGGGCUAGAGGGUGUCAGAGGCGUGCGGAAUUCGGGGUGUAGCGGUGAAAUGUGUAGAGAUCCCGAGGAACACCAGUGGUGCAAACGGCGCGCUGGGACACAACUGACGCUGAAGCACGAAAGCGUGGGGAGCGAACGGGAUUAGAGACCCCGGUAGUCCACGCCGUAAACGAUGUCAACUAGGUGUCUGCAAGGGGAAACCUGAGUGGGUGUCAAAGCUAACGCGAUAAGUUGACCGCCUGGGGAGUACGGUCGCAAGGCUAAAACUCAAAGGAAUUGACGGGGGCCCGCACAAGCAGCGGAGCGUGUGGUUUAAUUCGAGGCUACGCGAAGAACCUUACCUGGGUUUGACAUCAC
rnacentral:rRNA from 1 species